rnacentral:rRNA from 1 species
UGGUGGAGUGAUUUGUCUGGUUAAUUCCGUUAACGAACGAGACCUCAGCCUGCUAAAUAGUCACGUCGAUGCUGCAUCGGCGGCCGACUUCUUAGAGGGACUAUCGGCGUUUAGCCGGUGGAAGUUUGAGGCAAUAACA